UCGCGAAGCAAAAACCCAAACUUGAAUAUCGCGAAGCAAAAGGCUACAUCAGACGAUGUACAAGUUUUUCAAAAAUGAUUUGAUCGAUUGGUGUGUUUCGAUCUUGUUGAUUCACUAGGUAAAUCACAGCCUCAUCCUUCUAUAUUACCUGUUGAUCGAUCAAAAAAAGCACCUUACCUCGGAUCAAGAAAAAAGAAGAAACCGAAUCUCGGAAAACGACAAAUCACACAGUUGAACAAGGUGGGAGUAGCUCGUGUGAUCUAGUCGAAGGUCCAUAGGAAACUGAUAAGGAGAGGGGUCUUCCAUCUCACUAUUCUAGAUUCUACCGAAUUAGUUGGAAUUGAAUUCGUCCAAGAUUAAAUGCCAGUUGAAUGUCGACUAGUGUUGAAGGUCCAAGCUGUACU